rnacentral:rRNA from 1 species
AGAGUUUGAUCCUGGCUCAGAAUGAACGCUGGCGGCGUGCUUAACACAUGCAAGUCGUACGAGAACGCUUCAGCUUGCUGAAGCAAGUAAAGUGGCGUACGGGUGGGUAACGCGUGGGUAAUCUACCUCCGAAUUGGGGAUAACGUUGCGAAAGCGACGCUAAUACCGGAUAAUAUCGAGAGGACUUCGGUUCUUUUGAUCAAAGGUGGCCUCUCCUUGGAAGCUACUGUUUGGAGAUGAGCCCGCGUCCCAUUAGCUUGUUGGUGGGGUAAAGGCCCACCAAGGCGACGAUGGGUAGCUGGUCUGAGAGGAUGAUCAGCCACACUGGAACUGACACACGGUCCAGACUCCUACGGGAGGCAGCAGUGAGGAAUUUUGCGCAAUGGGGGAAACCCUGACGCAGCAACGCCGCGUGAGUGAUGAAGGCUUUCGGGUCGUAAAGCUCUGUCAAGUGGGAAGAACCACUUUGAGGAUAAUACCCUCGAGGUCUGACGGUACCACUGAAGGAAGCACCGGCUAACUCCGUGCCAGCAGCCGCGGUAAUACGGGGGGUGCAAGCGUUAUUCGGAUUUACUGGGCGUAAAGCGCGCGUAGGCGGCCGUUUAAGUCAGAUGUGAAAGCCCGGGGCUCAACCCCGGAAGUGCAUUUGAUACUAUUCGGCUUGAGUAUGGGAGAGGGAAGUGGAAUUCCUGGUGUAGAGGUGAAAUUCGUAGAUAUCAGGAGGAACACCGGUGGCGAAGGCGACUUCCUGGACCAAUACUGACGC